AAUCAACGCUGGCGGCGUGCCUCAGACAUGCAAGUCGAACGCGAAAGUCCCCUUCGGGGAUGAUUAGAGUGGCGCACGGGUGAGUAACACGUAGGUAAUCUACCUUCGGGUGGGGAAGUAACUCAGGGAAACUUGAGCUAAUACCGCAUAAUGCAGCGGCACCACAUGGUGACAGUUGUUAAAGCAUUUAUGCGCUUGAAGAGGAGCCUGCGGCGGAUUAGCUAGUUGGUAAGGUAAUGGCUUACCAAGGCUACGAUCUGUAACCGGCCUGAGAGGGCGGACGGUCACACUGACACUGAAUAACGGGUCAGACUCCUACGGGAGGCAGCAGUCGGGAAUUUUGGGCAAUGGGCGAAAGCCUGACCCAGCAACGCCGCGUGAAGGAUGAAAU
rnacentral:rRNA from 1 species